rnacentral:rRNA from 1 species
ACGUAGGGUGCAAGCGUUAAUCGGAAUUACUGGGCGUAAAGCGUGCGCAGGCGGUUUUGUAAGACAGUGGUGAAAUCCCCGGGCUCAACCUGGGAACUGCCAUUGUGACUGCAAGGCUAGAGUGCGGCAGAGGGGGAUGGAAUUCCGCGUGUAGCAGUGAAAUGCGUAGAUAUGCGGAGGAACACCGAUGGCGAAGGCAAUCCCCUGGGCCUGCACUGACGCUCAUGCACGAAAGCGUGGGGAGCAAACAGGAUUAGAUACCCUGGUACUCAAGGGCG